CAGUAGCCGCGGUAAUACGAAGGGUGCAAGCGUUAAUCGGAAUUACUGGGCGUAAAGCGUGCGUAGGCGGUUUGUUAAGUCUGUUGUGAAAUCCCCAGGCUCAACCUGGGAAUGGCAAUGGAUACUGGCAAGCUAGAGUGUGUCAGAGGAUGGUGGAAUUCCCGGUGUAACGGUGAAAUGCGUAGAGAUCGGGAGGAACAUCAGUGGCGAAGGCGGCCAUCUGGGACAACACCGACGCUGAGGCACGAAAGCGUGGGGAGCAAACAGGAUUAGAUACCCCCGUAGUCCCUGUCUCUUAUAC
rnacentral:rRNA from 1 species